GACGAACGCUGGCGGCGCGCCUAACACAUGCAAGUCGAACGAGCGAGAGAGAGCUUGCUUUCUCGAGCGAGUGGCGAACGGGUGAGUAACGCGUGAGGAACCUGCCUCAAAGAGGGGGACAACAGUUGGAAACGACUGCUAAUACCGCAUAAGCCCACGACCCGGCAUCGGGUAGAGGGAAAAGGAGCAAUCCGCUUUGAGAUGGCCUCGCGUCCGAUUAGCUAGUUGGUGAGGUAACGGCCCACCAAGGCGACGAUCGGUAGCCGGACUGAGAGGUUGAACGGCCACAUUGGGACUGAGACACGGCCCAGACUCCUACGGGAGGCAGCAGUGGGGAAUAUUGCACAAUGGGGGAAACCCUGAUGCAGCGACGCCGCGUGGAGGAAGAAGGUCUUCGGAUUGUAAACUCCU
rnacentral:rRNA from 1 species